UGGGGAAUCUUGGACAAUGGGGGCAACCCUGAUCCAGCCAUGCCGCGUGAGUGAUGAAGGCCUUAGGGUCGUAAAGCUCUUUCGCCUGUGAAGAUAAUGACGGUAGCAGGUAAAGAAACCCCGGCUAACUCCGUGCCAGCAGCCGCGGUAAUACGGAGGGGACUAGCGUUGUUCGGAAUUACUGGGCGUAAAGAGUUCGUAGGCGGACUAGCAAGUUAGAGGUGAAAUCCCAGGGCUCAACCUUGGAACUGCCUUUAAAACUGCUAGUCUAGAGACCGGAAGAGGUUAGGGGAAUACCUAGUGUAGAGGUGAAAUUCGUAGAUAUUAGGUGGAACACCAGUGGCGAAGGCGCCUAACUGGUCCGGUACUGACGCUGAGGAACGAAAGCGUGGGGAGCAAACAGGAUUAGAUACCCUGGUAGUCCACGCCGUAAACGAUGAGUGCUAGAUGUUGGGGGCGCAGGCCCUUCGGU
rnacentral:rRNA from 1 species